GUGUGGAGUGGAAUCAAAGGAUGGAAGCUACAGAGUUUCACUCAAACAAAUAAAACUGGAGGUUGAAGGAUAAUAUCUAUGAGGCAAUACACGAGUCUUCCCAGAAGUCCGUCACAAGACCUGCAAUGAAAACAGUUUAUGCCACUACCAACUUCCCCACAAACCCAGCUUUCUUCAUGCAUGAAUCCAAAGUCAAGGUUUAAAACAUCUCUGGUGAGGCUGACUCUGAUACAGAUUGUAGUCAGUGGAAACCAGGCCAGCAUGAUACGAAGUCUACAGCAAAUCAUCCAUCCAGAGUUUCAAUUGACAAUUUCUACUCCCUGUCGUUGCAAUGCCACUGCGGCACUGAGAAGGGUUAAGUCCUGACUGCUCCUCUAUUUACUGCUUGCUUUCUAGCUAUUAAAAUUUGAUGAUCUGGGAAAUUUCAAACCUUUUCUUGAUGCAUCCAAAAUCUAUAAGAACUUUUCAGCUGUACAGAUCUAGGGCAGUGACCUGGGUGGGAAUGAAUGUGAUUAUUUUGCCAGAUCCUAUGUUAUUUACGUUUAUAUUUUUUUCCUUUAUUUCACUUUUGUAAUCCUUCUCUUCUCUAUUUGUUUAUAUGUAUGAAGGAAAUAUUCUUAAUAAAAAAG
ensembl:lncRNA